rnacentral:misc_RNA from 1 species
GAUGAAGAACGUAGUGAAAUGCGAUAAUUAAUGUGAAUUGCAGAAUUCAGUGAAUCAUCGAGUCUUUGAACGCACAUUGCGCCCCCUGGUAUUCCGGGGGGCAUGCCUGUCCGAGCGUCAUUGCUGCUCUCAAGCACGGCUUGUGUGUUGGGCUUCCGUCCCUGGCAACGGGGACGGGCCCAAAAGGCAGUGGCGGCACCAUGUCUGGUCCUCGAGCGUAUGGGGCUUUGUCACCCGCUCCCGUAGGUCCAGCUGGCAGCUAGCCUCGCAACCAAUCUUUUUAACCAGGUUGACCUCGGAUCAGGUAGGGAUACCCGCUGAACUUAAGCAUAUCAAUAAGCGGAGGA